rnacentral:misc_RNA from 1 species
GAGCGUGGUCGCGAAGAUCCUGGUGAACCUGGCCAUAGCGGCACUGCUCUUCUGGGCCGUCGGGUUCGCCAUCACCUUCGGCACCGGCAACGCCAUCUUCGGCACGCAGGGCUGGUUCCUCGCCGUGCCCGCGGUCCAGGUCAACGAGGUGUACGCGGGUCUCUCCUGGACGCAGGUGCCGCUCUCGGCCAAGUUCCUGUUCCAGGUCGCCUUCUGCGCGGUCUCCCUGGCCAUCGUCUGGGGGACGAUGCUCGAGCGGACCAAGUUCGCCGUCUACGUGGUCUUCGCGGUCGUCUUCGCGGGGCUGCUCUACCCGCUGGGGGGACAC